rnacentral:rRNA from 1 species
CGCAUCUGUGCAUGCAGCAUAUCAAUAAGCGGAGGAAAAGAAACUAACAAGGAUUCCCCUUAGUAACGGCGAGUGAAGCGGGAAGAGCUCAAAUUUGAAAUCUUAAAGGGUUUCCCUUUACGAAUCGUAGUUUAAAGAAGUGUUUUCUGCUGAGGUUUUGGUAAAAGUUCUUUGGAAUAGGACAUCAUAGAGGGUGAGAAUCCCGUAUUUGACCAUUACUUUCAACUUUGUGAUACACUUUCAAAGAGUCGGAUUGUUUGGGAAUGCAGUCCAAAAUGGGUGGUAAAUUUCAUCUAAAGCUAAAUAUUGGCGAGAGACCGAUAGCGAACAAGUACCGUGAGGGAAAGAUGAAAAGAACUUUGAAAAGAGAGUUAAACAGUACGUGAAAUUGUCAAAAGGGAAGCGUUUGACACCAGUGUUGUUUUUCUGAAAAUCAAUUAAAGAACUGUUUAUGCUAAGCUGUUUAGACUUUAUCAGCUAUCUGUUUAGUUUUGAGCUUUUCCUUAAUGCACUUUUCAGUUAACAAGUCAACAUCAAUUUCUUUUGCUGUAAAAAAGCUUGAGGAAGGUGGCUUGAGAUUCGUCUUAAGUGUUUAUAGCCUCUUGCCUAUGCAGUCGGAGAGAUUGAGGUCUGCAGCGUAGAUCCUUCGGGGCUAAAUGCAUUUGUGCUAAGUUAUAGCAUUUUAUAGACAACUUGUUGACUAUGAUUAGUCUUGUAGCUUACUCGCUUAUGUUAUUUUACCUACGCUUAGGAUGUUGAUAGUCACAGCGUGUAC